AUUGAACGCUGGCGGCAUGCUUUACACAUGCAAGUCGAACGGCAGCGCGGGCUUCGGCCUGGCGGCGAGUGGCGAACGGGUGAGUAAUACAUCGGAACGUGCCCAGUAGUGGGGGACAGCUCGGCGAAAGCCGGAUUAAUACCGCAUACGACCUGAGGGUGAAAGCGGGGGAUCUUCGGACCUCGCGCUAUUGGAGCGGCCGAUGGCAGAUUAGCUAGUUGGUGGGGUAAAGGCCUACCAAGGCGACGAUCUGUAGCUGGUCUGAGAGGACGACCAGCCACACUGGGACUGAGACACGGCCCAGACUCCUACGGGAGGCAGCAGUGGGGAAUUUUGGACAAUGGGCGAAAGCCUGAUCCAGCAAUGCCGCGUGUGUGAUGAAGGCCUUCGGGUUGUAAAGCACUUUUGGCGGGAACGAAAAGGACUGUGCCAAUACCACGGUUCGAUGACGGUACCCGCAGAAUAAGCACCGGCUAACUACGUG
rnacentral:rRNA from 1 species